GCACCGCUAGCUCAAUGGUAGAGCAGUUGACUCUUAAUCAAUUGGUUGAAGGUUCGAGUCCUUCGCGGUGCA
rnacentral:tRNA from 1 species